CCUUAAAAUCAUCUCAUUGCAACCCCCUGCCGUGGGCAGGGACACCUUCCACCAGCCCAGGUUGCUCAGAGCUCCAGCCAGCCAGGCCUUGGAUACCUCCAGGUAGCAAAGCUGGAGAAAGGUGGAUG